GCAUCAGCGGUUCUCGUAUGUUCACCGAAGUUAAGCAACGUCGAGCUUGGUUAGUACCUAGAUGGGUGACUGUUUGGGAAUACCGGAUGCUGUAGG